rnacentral:rRNA from 1 species
ACGAACGCUGGCGGCAGGCCUAACACAUGCAAGUCGAGCGCCUCGCAAGAGGAGCGGCGGACGGGUGAGUAACGCGUGGGAACGUACCCUCUUCUACGGAAUAGCCUCGGGAAACUGGGAGUAAUACCGUAUACGCCCUUUGGGGGAAAGAUUUAUCGGAGGAGGAUCGGCCCGCGUUGGAUUAGGUAGUUGGUGGGGUAAUGGCCUACCAAGCCGACGAUCCAUAGCUGGUUUGAGGGGAUGAUCAGCCACACUGGGACUGGGACACGGCCCAGACUCCUACGGGAGGCAGCAGUGGGGAAUCUUAGACAAUGGGCGCAAGCCUGAUCUAGCCAUGCCGCGUGAGCGAUGAAGGCCUUAGGGUUGUAAAGCUCUUUCAGGGGGGAAGAUAAUGACUGUACCCCCAGAAGAAGCCCCGGCUAACUCCGU